rnacentral:rRNA from 1 species
CGGAGGGUGCAAGCGUUGUCCGGAUUCAUUGGGUUUAAAGGGUGCGUAGGCGGCCUGGUAAGUCAGCGGUGAAAUACCCACGCUCAACGUGGGAACUGCCGUUGAUACUGCCGGGCUUGAGUUCGUCCGAGGUCGCUGGAAUGCGUGGUGUAGCGGUGAAAUGCAUAGAUAUCACGCAGAACACCGAUUGCGAAGGCAGGUGACUGGGACGCGACUGACGCUGAGGCACGAAAGUGUGGGGAGCAAACAGGAUUAGAUACCCUGGUAGUCCACACCGUAAACGAUGGAUACUAGGUGUCCGGGACUUCGGUCCUGGGUGCCCAAGGGAAACCGAUAAGUAUCCCACCUGGGGAGUACGUCCGCAAGGAUG